AGCGAACGCUGGCGGCAGGCCUAACACAUGCAAGUCGAACGGACCCUUCGGGGUUAGUGGCGGACGGGUGAGUAACACGUGGGAACGUGCCUUUAGGUUCGGAAUAGCUCCUGGAAACGGGUGGUAAUGCCGAAUGUGCCCUUCGGGGGAAAGAUUUAUCGCCUUUAGAGCGGCCCGCGUCUGAUUAGCUAGUUGGUGGGGUAAUGGCCCACCAAGGCUACGAUCAGUAGCUGGUCUGAGAGGAUGACCAGCCACAUUGGGACUGAGACACGGCCCAAACUCCUACGGGAGGCAGCAGUGGGGAAUCUUGCGCAAUGGGCGAAAGCCUGACGCAGCCAUGCCGCGUGUAUGAUGAAGGUCUUAGGAUUGUAAAAUACUUUCACCGGUGAAGAUAAUGACUGUAGCCGGAGAAG
rnacentral:rRNA from 1 species